rnacentral:lncRNA from 1 species
UCCAUGCUAUUGAAAAAUAUAAACCACCACAUACUGAAGAAUAACAAUUAAAGUGUGACGCCCCCAAAAUAGGUAUACAACACCCAUUCUGAGUCGCCAAAAUACAUGGUAUAGAAAAGCAAACUACAACUUUGACAAUACAGAUGUCGUGUAGAAUACGACAAUACAACUGUGAGUUUGAAUACAAAUAUUGUCUUCUAGACAAUAUACACACCCAAAUAAGUCCUCAUUAAUUAUUCAUACACUAUUUUACAGAAAUAGUGAGGACAGCUAAAACAUCUUCCUAG